GAUGAACGCUGGCGGCGUGCCUAAUACAUGCAAGUCGAGCGAACGGACGAGAAGCUUGCUUUUCUGAUGUUAGCGGCGGACGGGUGAGUAACACGUGGAUAACCUACCUAUAAGACUGGGAUAACUUCGGGAAACCGGAGCUAAUACCGUAUAAUAUUUUGAACCGCAUGGUUCAAAAGUGAAAGACGGUCUUGCUGUCACUUAUAGAUGGAUCCGCGCUGCAUUAGCUAGUUGGUAAGGUAACGGCUUACCAAGGCAACGAUGCAUAGCCGACCUGAGAGGGUGAUCGGCCACACUGGAGCUGAGACACGGACAAGACUCCUACGGGAGGCAGCAGUAGGGAAUCUUACGCAGUGGGCGGAAGCCUGACGGAGCAACGCCGCGUGAGUGGUGAAGGUCUUCGGAUCGUAAAACUCUGUUAUUAGGGAAGAACAUAUGUGUAAGUAACUGUGCACAUCUUGACGGUACCUAAUCAGAAAGCCACGGCUAACUACGUG
rnacentral:rRNA from 1 species